GGUAGGUUCAACGUUUCGCAAACCACGUUCCUCCGAUUUUUCCCUUUCGAGGGGACACUGCAGCGUGCAUCGAAAUUGUGGCCAAUGGAACGCGCGGCUCGAGAAGAAACCACCGAUUUUACGAAGAAAGCGUUAUAGCAUGAACGAUCGCCACUUCCGACCGCUUCCACUGCCAGCACUGCCACGCUUCCACUGCCAUCUGCCACGGGUCGUCCACGGGGGUUUCAAUCUUCGAUGAUUUCGGACUAAUUUACUCCCGGCGAGGUAGAACAGUCGACAAUGUGCCCCUCCUUUAUUUAGAAUCUCUUCGAAACUUCAGCUAGCAGGCUCGGGUCAGCAAAUCCCGAAAAACCAUAGAAAGUUAUUGACCGAUGCCCGAUUAAACGGUUCAAGAGCCAGGAUCCCGGGGUGGUUCAAUUAUCGCAGUCCGAGAUGAAGAAACGGAGGCAGCAGCGGUAGCCGAAAAAGAAGAAGAAAAGAAGAAAAGAAGGAAGAAGAAGAAGAAGAAGAAGGCCGCAGGAGGAGACGAAGAGUGGAGCGUGGAGCGUUAAGGGUUGCUGGGUGGCCAAGCGAGCUUGACGCGGACCGAGGCCGAGGACUUUUGGCGAGCGGAGCGCACACGCGUCACAAUCCGUUUUCACGUCAGGUGGCCCGACAUCGGCGAAUUUUUAUUGGAAUGCUGCCAGCGUUGGUCUGUCACUUCCCCUGUCCCGGAAUCUAUGUAUAUACGUCUCGGGGGCUGAAGUAUGUAAGACGGGACGACGUAUUUAUUUACGGGACGCCGCGGCGGAGAGGCGGGGUAGAGGUAUUCGUAGCGCCGUAACUUGCCAUACGGCCGCGGUAAUGGCGAUUUUAUGUUGGGAUGCCGAGUCGUUCUUGAGCCACCGCCGCGCCGCUCCCAUUCGAACAACCCCCUCUGUCAUCCGUCGAGCGCGUCGCGCCGUUUCGCAACCGGGGAUCCGGCAACGCUAUACUCCUAUACUCAGUGGCACCCGAAAACUCCGCCCCCGCACCGUUCGAUCCAAAAAUCUGGCCGAAACACGACUUUUCGAAGCUACGAUCGUUUUUCGAAUCGUGGAGGGAGGGCGGCACGAUUUUCGUUGU